rnacentral:rRNA from 1 species
AUGAUACUCCAUAGAUUAGAGACACUGGAAUGUUCUUUAGUCGAAAGUUCUGGCGCCUUAGGAUGGAUCUGCGGUCGAUUAGGUUGUUGUUUGGGGUAACGGCCCAACAAGCCUGUAAUCGAUACGGGUUGUGGGAGCAAGAGCCCGGAGAUGGAAUCUGAGACACGAUUCCAGGCCCUACGGGGCGCAGCAGGCGCGAAAACUUUACAAUGCAGGAAACUGUGAUAAGGGAACUCCGAGUGCCCGUAUACGCGGGCUGUCCAGGUGUUUAAAAAUCAUCUGAAGAAAGGGCCGGGCAAGACCGGUGCCAGCCGCCGCGGUAAUACCGGCGGCUCGAGUGGUGGCCACUAUUAUUGGGCUUAAAGCGUCCGUAGCUGGACCGAUAAGUCUCUUGGGAAAUCCGCCGGCUCAACCGGCGGGCGUCUAAGGGAUACUGUUAGUUAGGGACCGGGAGAGGUGAGAGGUACUCCGGGGGUAGGAGUGAAAUCCUGUAAUCCCCGGGGGACCACCGAUGGCGAAGGCAUCUCACCAGAACGGCUCCGACAGUGAGGGACGAAAGCUGGGGGAGCGAACCGGAUUAGAUACCCGGGUAGUCCCAGCCGUAAACUAUGCGCGUUAGGUGU